AAAAAGAAGAUUUUUUUGUAUCCUAUAAUACCAAAGUUUUAUCAUACCAAACAAAUAUUAAUAAUUAAAAUAAAUUUUAAAAAAUAUUUUUAUUGUACUUUUAUUUUGAAUGAAUUAUUUUAUUUAUUUAAUUUUGAUUAAUUUAGCGUUAAAUUUAUACAAGUUUCCAUCUAGGCAUGCCACAAAAAAAAUGUCUGACAUGCAAGGUUUUCUCUCUCUUACAUGGCAGCUAAUGUAAUUUUUUCGUCCAAAGUCAAACAAUUUAACAGAAUUUGUAGCGGUUUAUAAAAAAGUUGUAGUCCAGUGAGUCGAAUAUAAAAAAAAUUAGUUCAAUGAUGCAUUUGUAAACCGACCCUUAGUAGAGUGGCGAAAAAUAUAUUUAACCCAUUGUGAAAGAUUGAUAAUCAAAUUUCAAUAAAUGAAUAACUGAAUCAAUAACGCUGAGUUGUCAAUAAUGACCAUGAACAAUUACUUUGGUAAUGAAGGUGAUCAGCUUUUCAUACAUGAUAAACAUAUGCAAGAUACACUAAGUGCGAAUCAAUAAUCAUAGAUGUAAAAUAAUUGUCAAUAAUUAAAUCACUAGCAUGCUUGAAACAUAAUAACUCAAUUUUGAGUUAGGGAACUUGCCUUGGCCGUCGAUUACUGCUCCGCAAUUUAAUUUAAUCUAUUAUGAAAGACAUAUCAUUAUGAAGAUUGAUCUCUCAAUCAACAUAUUAUAUCAUACCUCAUAAUACUACUACGUUAAUAAAUUAGCUAACAUUUAGUUACAAAAUUAAAUAUUAGAUAACACCUUAAACCAUCAAUAUUAUUAUCUUCAUUUGAUAAUACCUCAAUAACUUUAUCAUCAUCUAAAAACUCUUCUCUAAUAUUAUUAAUCACUUAAUAAUAUCUCAUUCACUUCUUAUAAUCAUUUCAUAAUAUCUUAAUCGUUUACAAAUAUUAUUAAUAUUUUAAUCAUUUAUCAACAUCUUAAUCAUUUUCAAAUAUUAUUAAUUAUUUAAUAAUAUUUUAAUUACUUAAUAAUAUCUUAAUCUAAUAUUAUUAAUCUCUUAAUAAUAUUUUAAUCAUUUAUUAACCCAAUAAAUAAUUUAUUUUAAAUCUUUACCCUUUACUAAUUUAUUUAUUUAACAAUCAUAAAAUGCCAUAAAUAUAAAAUUUUAUCAAAAAUGACCAUAAUACCCUCCAAAAUUCUAAUUAAAUCAUAUUAAGGGUCUUUUGUCAAAAACAAAUCAUAUUUUUUUACCCUUUAUAACAUCACAUUACUUAUUUUAUCCAUUUAUUCAUAACUCAAUUAUUUACAUGAAAAAUAUCAAAACAUAUCUAAAAGUUUUUCUUUUCUGGGAAACAUCAGUAUAUGAUAUUUUAAUGAACAUAUAUUUUUCUUGAAUUUUUCAAUUCCGUUUACUAAUUUUAAAUGGUCCAAAAUAGUCAGAUCUUCCAACAUUUUUUAUAAAUCGAAAUUUUGUUCAACAAUUCUGAAAUUUUCAAGACAUACUCCUGUUAUGAACAUAUACUCCCAGUAACACUUUAAUAAUUUUUGGAAUUAACCACAAAGAGUUAUUCAAGUUUACUUUUAAAAUAGUCAUUUUUUGUAAAAUCCAUAACUUUCAUUCUACACAUCCAAAAAUUACCAUAUUUUUACUGGAUCUUAAUAACUCAUCAUAUUAUCAUACCAAUUUUAAAAAAAAUUUUAAAUCAUGGAAAAAGGACGAAAAUGCCCCUGCAAGCAACUGGUCACGAGCUGUCCUUUCCCUUUUCUUCAUAAGCUGAAGUGUUUAGACUAAAACAGCCACCAUGGAUUGUAAAAUCAACAUAUUUGAGUGCUACCACUUGAUUUUAAAAACUAACUUAUCUAGCACCUCUCUUUGAUGGAUUCUAAAAAGAAGGUGUAAAUCUUAAAUGGUAGUUAAUCAAAGUGGAAGAAAGUCAAAGUUUUCUAGCCUUUUGGAACAAAGUUUUACAUCUUCUUCCUUUGAUCCAUACGUGCAACACUCAAAAGGGUUAGAUCCAUACAUGCAACACUCAAAUACAUGUUAAUCUAAAGUUUUGAAGUUCAAAAAUAUCAACUCUUCAUUUAAUCAAAUCAUCAAAAGAAAUGAGUACAAAAGCUUAGAACUUUGGGAUUAUACCUUGAUUUAAUGGCUACCCUUCUUGCUUUUCCAAAGUAGGAGAUGAAUUUUGGGAGCAUGAAGAUCCAAUCUCUCCUUCUUUCUUCCCUCAUACCCACGGUUUUCUCCCUCUCUUUCUACCUCUUAUAUUUUGCUUCUUUUGCUUUUCUUUUAAUGGAGAGAGAAAUUAAAGGGUAAAGUAACUGUUUUGAUAAUUAAAGUGGGAUGAGUAAUUGGUAUUGGUGAAUUAGAAUAGAUACAAUCUAUGUAUGUAUCAUCAAUUGUCCAACACUUUUCUCUCUCCUCCUCAUCUUUAAUUUUAC
rnacentral:lncRNA from 1 species